GAAGUCGUCCGGGUAGACGCUGGUGGCCUUGGCCACGAGAGGAAAGUCCGGGCUUCACAGGGCAGGGUGCUGGCUAACGGCCAGGCGGGGUGACCCGACGGAAAGUGGCACAGAAAGCAAACCGCCGGGGGCACGGGUGCCGGCCGAAAGGCGGGCAGCCGGCUCCGGCAAGGGUGAAAGGGUGCGGUAAGAGCGCACCGCGCCCCUGGUGACAGGGGUGGCAGGCCAAACCCCACCCGAAGCAAGGGCGAAUAGGGAGGCGCCUUCGAUGGAAGGCCGGGGUGGCCCGCUCCGAGUCCUCCGGGUAGGCCCGCUCGAGCCCACCGGCAACGGUGGGCCUAGAUGAAUGUCUACCGCCUGCUUUCCGCAGGAACAGAACCCGGCUUACAGGGCGACUUCGGCG
rnacentral:RNase_P_RNA from 1 species